rnacentral:rRNA from 1 species
GAUGAACGCUGGCGGCGUGCCUAAUACAUGCAAGUCGAGCGAACAGACGAGGAGCUUGCUCCUCUGACGUUAGCGGCGGACGGGUGAGUAACACGUGGAUAACCUACCUAUAAGACUGGGAUAAAUUAGGGAAACCGGAGCUAAUACCGGAUAAUAUAUUGAACCGCAUGGUUCAAUAGUGAAAGACGGUUUUGCUGUCACUUAUCGAUGGAUCCGCGCCGCAUUAGCUAGGUGGUAAGGUAACGGCUUACCAAGGCAACGAUGCGUAGCCGACCUGAGAGAUUGAUCGGCCACACUGGAACUGAGACACGGUCCAGACUCCUACGGGAGGCGGCAGUAGGGAAUCUUCCGCAAUGGGCGAAAGCCUGACGGAGCAACGCCGCGUGAGUGAUGAAGGUCUUCGGUUCGUAAAACUCUGUUAUGAGGGAAGAACAAAUGUGUAAGUAACUAUGCACGUCUGGACGGUACCUAAGCAGAAAGCCACGGCUAACUACGU